rnacentral:rRNA from 1 species
ACGGGAGGCAGCAGUGGGGAAUAUUGCACAAUGGGGGAAACCCUGAUGCAGCAACGCCGCGUGAAGGAAGAAGUAUUUCGGUAUGUAAACUUCUAUCAGCAGGGAAGAAUAAAAUGACGGUACCUGACUAAGAAGAACCGGCUAAAUACGUGCCAGCAGCCGCGGUAAUACGUAUGGUUCAAGCGUUAUCCGGAUUUACUGGGUGUAAAGGGUGAGUAGGCGGUUAUGCAAGUCACAUGUGAAAUGUCGGGGCUCAACUCCGGCCUGCAUGAGAAACUGUAUAACUAGAGUGCAGGAGAGGCAAGCGGAAUUCCUAGUGUAGCGGUGAAAUGCGUAGAUAUUAGGAAGAACACCGGUGGCGAAGGCGGCUUGCUGGACUGUAACUGACGCUGAGUCACGAAAGCGUGGGGAGCAAACAGGAUUAGAUACCCUGGUA